rnacentral:rRNA from 1 species
AGAGUUUGAUCCUGGCUCAGAUUGAACGCUGGCGGCAUGCCUUACACAUGCAAGUCGAACGGCAGCACGGGAGCAAUCCAGGUGGCGAGUGGCGAACGGGUGAGUAAUACAUCGGAACGUGCCCAGUAGUGGGGGAUAACCCGGCGAAAGCCGGACUAAUACCGCAUACGACCUACGGGUGAAAGCAGGGGAUCGCAAGACCUUGCGCUAUCGGAGCGGCCGAUGUCAGAUUAGCUUGUUGGCGGGGUAAAAGCCCACCAAGGCGACGAUCUGUAGCUGGUCUGAGAGGACGACCAGCCACACUGGGACUGAGACACGGCCCAGACUCCUACGGGAGGCAGCAGUGGGGAAUUUUGGACAAUGGGCGCAAGCCUGAUCCAGCCAUGCCGCGUGCGGGAAGAAGGCCUUCGGGUUGUAAACCGCUUUUGUCAGGGAAAAAACGCUCCGGGCUAAUACCUCGGAGUAAUGACGGUACCUGAAGAAUAAGCACCGGCUAACUACGUGCCAGCAGCCGCGGUAAUAC